rnacentral:rRNA from 1 species
UAGGGAAUCUUCCACAAUGGACGAAAGUCUGAUGGAGCAACGCCGCGUGAGUGAAGAAGGGUUUCGGCUCGUAAACUCUGUUGUUAAAGAAGAACAUAUCUGAGAGUAACUGUUCAGGUAUUGACGGUAUUUAACCAGAAAGCCACGGCUAACUACGUGCCACCAG